rnacentral:tRNA from 1 species
GGAGAGGUGUCCGAGUGGCUGAAGGAGCACGCUUGGAAAGCGUGUAUAGAGGUAACUCUAUCGAGGGUUCGAAUCCCUCUCUCUCCG